rnacentral:rRNA from 1 species
GUGAGGAAUAUUGGUCAAUGGACGGAAGUCUGAACCAGCCAUGCCGCGUGCAGGAAUAAGGUCCUAUGGAUUGUAAACUGCUUUUAUUCGGGAAUAAACCUCUUUACGUGUAGGGAGCUGAAGGUACCGAAGGAAUAAGCACCGGCUAACUCCGUGCCAGCAGCCGCGGUAAUACGGAGGGUGCAAGCGUUAUCCGGAAUCAUUGGGUUUAAAGGGUCCGCAGGCGGGCUAUCAAGUCAGAGGUGAAAUCCCACAGCUUAACUGUGGAACUGCCUUUGAAACUGAUGGUCUUGAAUUAAGUGGGCGUUGGCGGAAUAUGACAUGUAGCGGUGAAAUGCAUAGAUAUGUCAUGGAACACCGAAAGCGAAGGCAGCUAACGAUACUUAUAUUGACGCUCAUGGACGAAAGCGUGGGUAGCGAACAGGAUUAGAAACCCCGGUAGUCC